UACGGAGGGGGGCAAAUGUUGUUCGGAAUCACUGGGCGUAAAGGGAGCGUAGGCGGGCUCUUAAGUUAGGUGUUUAAUCCCGGGGCCCAACCCCGGUCGUGCACUUAAAACUGGGAGUCUUGAAUAGUGGAGAGGUCAGUGGAAUUGGGGGUGUAGCGGUGGAAUGCGUAGAGAUCCCCAAGAACACCAGUUGCGAAGGCGGCUGACUGGACACAUAUUGACGCUGAGGCUCGAAAGCAUGGGGAGCAAACAGG
rnacentral:rRNA from 1 species